rnacentral:rRNA from 1 species
GACGAACCGAGCGAACGUUGUUCGGAAUCACUGGGCUUAAAGGGCGCGUAGGCGGGCUGCCAAGUCCGUGGUGAAAUCCCCCGGCUCAACCGGGGAAGGGCCUCGGAUACUGGCGGCCUCGAGGGGGGUAGGGGCGUGCGGAACUGUGGGUGGAGCGGUGAAAUGCGUUGAUAUCCACAGGAACUCCGGUGGCGAAGGCGGCGCGCUGGACCCCAUCUGACGCUGAGGCGCGAAAGCCAGGGGAGCGAACGGG